UUGCUUGACGCACCAGUACAUUUAUUAAAAUUGAAAUGUUACAAAGAUUAUCCUGGUCCCUACAAGGGAUGACAUGCAAAUUGAUUAACUUCCAUAAUUUUUC
rnacentral:snRNA from 1 species